UUAUAAACUAAAAAAUUAAAUAAAAUAAUUAGCUAAAUAAUAAUUUUCUUAUAAAACAAAAUGAAAAAAAAAAUGUAAAGUUGGAUGGAAUGAUAGAAGAUGAAAAUAAAGUGGCACAAAAGAAAGCAAGAAAUUAUUUAUUGUGUAAUAAUUUGAUCCAUCUGUUAAGGUCACUAUCCCAUAUAGCAAUUCAAUCCUGGAUUUGCCUACCCAACAGUUCUAAUGAUUGAAAACCAGCUCAAAUGAUAGGAAUGUAUAUACCACAUUGGAACUACAUCAGAGUGGAAGAUAUAACUGAAGAAUUACCAAAUGCAAGAAAAAUCAGCAAUAGAACAUGAGAUUCUUUACAUUAUCAUUGAGCUUUGGUAGAGGUGUUGCCUUUGGUGGAGCAGCUCUUGAGAUUGUAGAAGCAUUUCUCAUGGAAGCCAUGGACUCGGAUCGUUCAAGGUAAAGUCUGCCCCUGUAUGCAGCUAAGUGGGCAUAGUAAGCAGGAGGAACCAAAGAAACUGGCUUGGUGCACCUUACAAAUGUGUAGCAGAGAUUGUAAACUAGCUUCUGUAAUUCAUCAGAAGUGAAUUGGUUCUCAUCCCACAAGACAUGGUAAUGGGUUGGCCUGCUUGUUCCUUUCACCCCCCAAUGGCUGCAUAGAUAAAAAUCGAAUUCCUUUGGAUGAGUAAUCACAGUAUCCACAACUGUCCCUGGAGGUAUAUUUUCAUUGUAAAACUGGUUCUGAAUGGAAGAUAUAUCUGUUUCACUGGGAAACAACCUUGUGUGAUGCCUCUUUUGGACUACUGCAAAAGUGAUGAGAGGUCUAUAACCAGGGAAUCUAGAACAAGCUUCUUGAAUCGCUUGCAACUCCUCUUGGAGCACUUUAUAAAACUGGGUUUCACUUACUCCAUCCCUGAAGAAUAUUAUCCUCUUGGGAAGUUGGCUUGCUUCUUGAUAAAAAUCAUCUAGCAAUUCUUUCACCAUCGCACCAAGGUCCUGGAUAAUUUCUUGUCGAUGUGUUUGUGACCUCAUUCGUGAUGCAUACUUGUUUGUUUCUGGCCAGUUCAUGCUACCAACAACAGCAGCAACUGAUGGACUGAAGUCGUCAAGCGGGUGAGGAUGAGUAACAUCAGCUCCCAUAAAGAUCACAGGUUCAUCGGAACGAAGCAGGCGUGGAAUCUGAGAGGGUAAUGAGUUGUACAAAGCAACUGUGCAUCCUCCAACCUUGGCAUUGAUCUUGAGAGCCAAAUUAGCUAGAAACUGUGAAUUCAACUUGCCUAGAUUUGGAAACAAGCAGCAUUGGGUUACAACACCCACAUUUGUCUCUGCUAUUCGCUUCAAAUCUGCAUAUCCUUUGUGUCUCUUUUCCAUUAUACAAAUAAGCAGCUGAAGAUUGUUUGCAGCAACUUUGUGGAUUUUCUUGAGUUUUGAUUCCAGAAGGGCAACAUUAUUAAGCACUUGAGUUAGCUCAUAUUGAGGGCUAAUUAUUGUGUUUUUGCUAAGAAAGAUGCCUAAUUGUUCACACCUUUGAGACAGCUGGUUUAUAAAUUUUGGAAUGUUGGACUUCUGAUCAGGGGUGCCUCCAAAACUCACUAGUGCCCACCUUUCUAUUCUUGUUCCUUCAAAGACGUGGCUGUCCAGAAGGUUCCACUGUCGAUCAUGGCGAGAAGGAGUCAGAUCUCUCACAAGACCACCAUCACCAAGUUUUAGUUUUGGAGGCUGUAGGAUUCUGCCUUUCAAUCUUGUCAUUUCUCUUGAAACAUUGAGUUUGAAUUCUCUGCUCUGGUUGCCACUGUCAAGUAGGAGGAUUAAGUAAUUAGAAACAAUAAAAUGAAGAAACAUAAAAAAGAACCUAAAAUAUUAAUUGAAAUCUAGUUCCAUGAAAAAUUUUCUUCACUGCUGAAUUCUCCAGGGUACAUUUUGAAAUCACCUUGUUGGCCCAACAGAACCUCUCAUGACUUCGUGUAUAAUGUUUUUUCGUUCUUUAGGUCUUUGGCAGCCCAUCUUGAGUAUUCUUGCAGUCUGAUCAUCUGAUAGCUUCCCAAGAAACUUCUGGCCUUCACAAAUCAUACAAAGCUCCAUAGGAAGAUAACAUGGUUUACUUCUACUAAUCUGCAGACAUGGCAAGUUCCUGAAUUUUAUAUCAUAAUUGUAGUGAUCCUUGAAGUAACUCACCAGCCUCAGGUUCUUCCCAUCCCUGUCUGCAAACCAAAGAUUUUCUGUAGUUUCUUCAGUUAAGCCAUAAACCCGGUAUUUCUGAACAGUUUCUCUGUGGCAAACAAAGACCCUGAUGUUCUUCAAUGCCUUGUCCACAUCCUUCAUUUCUUCAUUAAUCAAACCCCUUGCUUUGUUUUGAGGGAGGUCCCUAAGAAACUUGAGACGCUUUUGCAGGUAGGGGAUCACUCCAAUACUUUCAUGAAAAGCAGUCAUAGAAAAAUCCACAUUAAGAGCUAGUCCUUGUUGGGUGGGUCUGAGACUUUGAAAGAAUCCUCUCAAUCCAACAGCUCCUCCUCCAAUUUCCUUAGUUCCUCCCAUUAAACUCGAAUAGAAUGAUCUCCCCACAGGUAUACACUUCUCCAUGGGACUUUCUCUCAAAACAACAUCCAAAGCAUGUAGAUAAUCCUGAGGAAGUGGAAUCCAAUCAUCACCGUCUUUGCUCAAGUAGCGGCUCAGCUCUUUUCCAUCCAACUUUGAUACAAGCUUGAUAUUUAUUCGAAAGAGUUUGAGCUGUUGAUGCCUCUCUUGAAAGUCCUUCGGUUCUCGAAAAGGCAAAGAUGAUUUGCUAGUUGGAAUUGGGAGACUAAUGUAGAAUUCAAACCUAUCAUUUUGGAACUCGACUGGACUGUAAAAAUUCUUUCGGCCAUCAUAGGCUGGAAAAGCCCCAGAAAGCACAGCUGAAUUAUCCUCUACUAAUUUUUGUUUGAUCAGCCGGGCAACUUGCUUGGAAGGAUUGGGAGAAAUUUCCACAUUGUAAUGGAAAAUUCUCUGCGAGGAAUUGAAUUGGACAAGAAAAUGGUUGGCAAGAAGAGUAAUAACAGGUCCUUCUACACCACCAGAAUCUGGUCUCCUUGUAGCCACCAGUGAUUGGGCGGGGCAACCCAUGGCCUUCUUUCCAUCAUUUCCUUUGACAGGCGUACUCUUUCGUCGUUGCAGAACCUCUGGAGCUGAUGAGAUUGUGACAACGGGUCCUUGGCUAACCGAAGAGGUGGGGCUGGGAGGAGGAGGAGGAUUAUUUAGCUUACAUGAAGGUUUCUGCAAAUGGGUUUUUGAUCUAGAGCUGUGGUUUUGAGGGAAAGGUGGAGUCAGAGCAAGUUGAAGAGGUAUUGGAGGAGGUAGCGGAAGAAGAGCUGGGUAGUAAGUUGGGUACUGGUUAUGGUUAAAGAAACCAAACUGGUUAGAGUAUCGAAACAGGUGAUGCUGAUAUUGAUACUGAUACUGAUGCUUAUGGGUGGAGUUAGUCCUACCCCUGAAAGUCCUAGUCUUAGUGGUGCAUUUCUUGCCAGCAUUGGAUUCUUCUGAGUCUUCCAUCACCAGAUAGUGAGAGAAACAAUACAAAGCAAAAUAGGGAUCAAUAUUAAGCUCAUGACAAGGGGACAGAAAAGAAAGAGAAGAAAUGGGUUCUGCUUUUAGAUAUACCAACGGCAAGGCGUCCCAGGAGAGACUGUAGUUAUUGCAGAGAGAGAAAAGGAAUUUGGGCUCUAGUUCCUGAGGUUCUUUGUAUCU
rnacentral:misc_RNA from 1 species